UGGGGAAGCAUCCAAAGGGAUCGCAUUGAUCCUUCGACUCCAUUAAUGGUGUUCGUCAUCGUCUGCUGAUUGUCGACGACGGAUCAUGCGAUCCUUUUGGAGGCUUCCUC
rnacentral:pre_miRNA from 1 species